GCCGCGGUCUUCAGACACCCAUGUGCUUAUGCUCUGUGACUCCACCCUUUUUGUCUGCUGUUUGAACCCUGAAACAGAGUUUACUAAAUGCCUGUUCCUGGCUGAGCCCUCCCUUGGGGAAGAGGCUUAUUUCCAGUUCUCAUUCCUAAAAGAAAUCUGCUCAGAGUUUCAAGCAUACAAAUAAAUUGUCAUCCAAGCUUGGGGACUAAACGGAGCUGUGGAAAAUGAAAAGACUCCUGCUUUCCAUUUCUCCCUUUGUGAAGGAGCUAAAACUUUCAAAAAUAACUUCAGUUAUCACAGAUACAGGUUCAGCAAAUCAUCUAGUCCUGUACCAACUGUCAGUCAUUGGGGACCACCACCCCGAG